GUGUUCGUAGCUCAGUCGGAUAGAGCAGCAGUUUCCUAAACUGCGGGCCGUAGGUUCAAUUCCUAUCGAGCACACCA
rnacentral:tRNA from 1 species